AACGAACGCUGGCGGCAUGCCUAACACAUGCAAGUCGAACGAGACCUUCGGGUCUAGUGGCGCACGGGUGCGUAACGCGUGGGAACCUGCCCUUAGGUUCGGAAUAACUCCCCGAAAGGGGUGCUAAUACCGGAUAAUGUCUUCGGACCAAAGAUUUAUCGCCUUUGGAUGGGCCCGCGUUGGAUUAGCUAGUUGGUAGGGUAAAAGCCUACCAAGGCGACGAUCCAUAGCUGGUCUGAGAGGAUGAUCAGCCACACUGGGACUGAGACACGGCCCAGACUCCUACGGGAGGCAGCAGUGGGGAAUAUAGGAGAAUGGGCGAAAGCCUGAUCCAGCAAUGCCGCGUGAGUGAUGAAGGCCUUAGGGUUGUAAAGCUCUUUUACCCGGGAUGAUAAUGACAGUACCGGGAGAAUAAGCUCCGGCUAACUCCGUG
rnacentral:rRNA from 1 species